GUUUCCUGAGGCCUCCCCAGCCAUUUGGAACUGGGGCAACUAUCGCAUCCAGAAAAAAAAAAAAAUGAAGAUAAUGACUUCUCUGCAGCUAAGAUGAAGAUCCACUGAACUUUGGGGUUUGAAAUGCAACAUUAGAACUUCAGGCUCUCGGCACCUAGGUCUCCAGCUGCUGGGUGGUGCCAGCAUCAGAGAUGCACUCUGCAAAACAUAUACUGUCUUAGGAAAAUGUGACCCUGUUGUCCUUUCAGGCCCAUAUUCCACAAGAAGACAAAUGGAGACUUAAAAGGAAAACUGCAGCUCCGAGUGAAGAGAGAGCAAGUUGUCUUUUCUGAUACAGCCAGGAAAUAAGAUGUUCUGGUUAAUACGUGCUAAAGAUGUGGUGCUGACUUUCAGACUCAGAAUAUGAACACAUGUAUUUCUCAUUAAAACUAUAUUAAAUGUUA